rnacentral:rRNA from 1 species
UGAUGGAGCUAACUAGAAUUCAUUGGUUAUCUAAUAUGGUUCCAUGGACUAAGUAAUAAAAAGAUAAUGACAUAUAUUACGGGUAAGUACAGACUAAUCGCCGUGCCAGCAGUCGCGGUAAAACGGCUUGUACGAACGUUAUUCCUCUUUAAUAGGCAUAAAGGGUUCGUAGGCAGCUUUUUCAGUAAGUUAAGAAGAGUUAGAUAGAAUCUUAUAGAGGAUAGUAGAAUACAUUUAUGAGGGUUAACAUCCACAGAUUAAGUGUAGACUGUUAACAGCGAAGGCAACUAUCCAGGUAUGAUUGACGCUGAGGAACUAAGGUAGGGGUAGGAAACAGGAUGUGCGACUUGAAAGCCUAAAUAUUAUAUACUUUGUAACUCAUGUUAAAUGAAGUUAAAAACAAAGAUUAUCUUUCAUCAGAUAAUAGUCAACCUAAACAUGCAUAGAUAGUAAUAUUUAUGUGUGAAGCUUUAGGGUAAAGUUUUAUGGUUAUCUACCAAAUUUGUAAAUAAUACAAAUUAAAACGAAGACUGAUUUUUAUGAUUAAGGAAACUGAACUUAUGUUAUAAAACUUAUUAAAUUUGACAUUUUAUAGUCCUGAUAAAAUGGUGAUGAACUACAUGGUUUAAUAUUUAAAGUAAGAAUCUAACAAAAUCUAUUGUAUAUAUUUAGGAACAAGGAAAUACCUAUAAUUUGCAAAUUAGUAUAAUACAUACUAAUAGGGCUAGUUUAUUCGCGAGAAUAAUAAUAUAAUUAGAGGUAGAAUGAUAAGAAAAAAGCGAAUGCUAAUUUGUAAUAAAUUAGAUAGGUUUUUAUUAAUAAAUUUUUAUUGAAAAUUAUGAGUAUUUAAACUGAUCUGAAAAGAUGCUAACUUUCUAUUGGUGUAAAUUUGUGAAAGUAUGAUAAGCAUAUUCAAUAUUACAACAAAUAAUAACUUACAAAUAUAUGCUUGAGCCGUGUGCGAUGAAAGUUGCACGCACGGUUCUUAGGAGGGGAAAACUUGAGAGAGUCUACCUAUUCCAAAUAGAGACCCAGGUACUCCCUACACGGAACGAUGAAUGCUAGAUAUUAGUAGAUAAAACUAUUGGUGUCGAGGUGAAAAGUACGUUAAGCAUUCCGCCUUGGUAGUAUACUUGCAAAAGUGAAAUCAAAAAAAUUAGUCAGUUAUAAAGCAAACGAAGUGAAGCCUGUUGUUUAAUACGAUAACCCGAAAUUUGAUCUAGGAAAUCAAUAAUGUUGGGUGUAAAACUAUCAAACUCCGGGGACACCCUAAAGCUCAAGUUACCAAACUACUAUCAAAAAAUAGUAUGUGGCCAAGUCUUUAAUUGGCAAAUUAAAGAAUUAAAUCGUAAUUGAUUGGAGAUGGUAACAAGACUUGAGAUGCAGAGAAAUCAAAUGGGCAAUCGCGGAUCUAAAUCAAUUAUCUUACCUUCAUCCACUUUAAUAAGAGGAAGAAGAAUCAAUAGGAUAAUUGUAAAAGAGCAACGAGCAGACGGUAGUUGGUUAUUGAAAAAUAAUUUAAGGUGUGUUCUAUUAGUUAAUGAAAGUUACUAUAUAACCAAAAUCCUUUCUAAAGUGUCUUUAACAAUACGAUACUAUUCUUCUACUUCUAUUAAAGAUAUUACAUACUAUAAUUAUAACAAUUUAAACUAAUUUAUAACAGGCCUAGCAGACGCUGAAAGUUCAAUUCCUGUUAAAAAUUUAAUCGAAUAAAAGGUCUUAACAAAAAUGACUUUAAUAGUUGAUGCAAAGCUGUAAAUAUAAUAAAAAAAUAAAAACAUCUAACAAAUGAAGGUUUACAUGAGAUUAUUGAAUUAAAAAGUAAUAUAAAGUUUAGUAGAAAAACUGAUGAGUAAAAAGUAAAAAAAUAGUAGUAAAGAUGCC